AUCAGUGAGUUGAGAACACUCAGAUAAAGGGAGUAUAAUUAGAGAGCAGGUGCAUCUCAGGUGGAGAUACUUCAUUCCAGCUGGAGACCUGGGACUUCAAAGCACCUUGUCAUACACCAGCCAUCCAGCAAAACAAGCACAGCAGUGAGAUCUACAGUCUUGCUACAGGCACAGAUGUUGUAGCAACUCUUUCCAAGGCAUCCUGGCCUCUGGAUUAUCAGCAUGGAGAGUAAGGAAGAUGCAUGGCUGAAGAAAGGUAGACACACUGGAACCGCACAAGGCUUGAAGGAAUACAGGGAGAUGAGAAACAAUCUGUAUUUUCCAGUCCUUACUAAUGGUUCCCCUUGAAGAGAAUAGAUGACAUUCACUCCAUCAAUAUAAGGAAGCUUUCAGGUGCAACAUCGAAUUGCUAAGCACAAGAAAGACCCAGCUGGCAUGUGGUGACAUUGCUCCACAAGGUGACCCAAAGGACUGUAACUGGUGAGGAUGAAGAAGUCCACUUCAGAAGCGUGUCUUGAUCUGAAAUAUAGCACCAGUAGAGACAUAUCCAGGAAACUAAGCCCUGCCCAGCAGGAGUGUGUGAGUCAGACUUCAUUAAUCCCAUUUCACAGGUGGUAGAUGAAGACUGAGCACGUUUACAUAAAACAAGUGGCAGAACUUUGAUGAAGCUGAAUACCUCACUUCCCAGAGACACUGGGUACUGUGGGGAACUAUGUGGUAGGACAAAGUGCAGUGCUAAGCUAGUGAACUAAUGCAAGUAGCCAGUAACAAGAAAAACAAAGCAGAAGCAGAAAUGAAAGGAUCUAGGUUGAUUAAAUGAUCUUUCUCAGUCAAUGAUAAGGAAGGAGGAUUGCAGUUGGGUUGGCUGUGAAAAGUAGCAGCUUAGAUCAAGAGACACUAAAUUGAGAAAUAUGAGGGCAAAGAGAUCGCAGUCUCUAUCUUGGCAUUGUGAGAUGUAACGCAUGCUCCUAGUCUCUGGAUGGAGGAAAGGUCACCCCACUAGCAGCCCACCUGCUUCCAUCAUAGCUUUGUCCAGGAGCAGCUAUAUUAAACAUUGGAGCUCCCAGGCUAAUUCACAGAACUCAGUUAGUAGAACUCCAUUUCUAUCAGUUCAGUGACCAUCACAGAAACAUGUUAUUUUAACCAGCAGUAAGAGCUAAUCAUGUCUUAUUUAGUAUUGAUUCUGUGGUUAUCAUAUACAGCAGAGCUUGCCACUUCUAUUUUUAUGUUUUUUCUAUUAUUAGAUAUCUGAUAAAACUGCUGUCCAGAUUGGAUAUCAGCUAGUUACUUAAUUAUUAUGUGGUUGUUCUGAAAAAUGAUGCCAGAAAAUACAGACAAACCAGGAGUGCCAGUGUUGGUUUUGGGCUUAGCCUGCAUAUUUUGACAAUGAAGAGCUUAAAUAAGUACAUUAAAGAUGUAAUUCUGGAGGUCUCUAAAGCAAAGAGUUAGCUCAAAAGCACAGAGGCUUUUGGGAACAGAGAAUAAACCAAUUCAUUGAUGAGCUCAUAAGCAAAAGAGUGCAAGUAGAAAAAGGUUAUAGAUAUUUCUUUUUUGCAUCAGAAGGCAGCAGGGACAUGUCAUGAGACAGGGCCCAAACUGUAAUCACUCCAAGUCACUCAGUAGAUAUAAAAAUAUCUGUGAAUAAAGACUCAUGUCUUUCUCUCCUCCUCAUGAAUCCAAAUGUACUGACCUAGAGGAAGAAUGGCUUUGAGUUUCCAUAGAGUAUCACAUUUUUUCUCUCCUAAGUGAUUUUCGGAGAAAUAAGUCUUAAAUCUCUAUUUUACUUUUGAGUGUACAUUUGCAAUUAUUUGCUCAUUGUAUUAAGACAGUUGGAUGUGAGAGUUAAUUUUUUUUAAUAAAUACCUGCAUCAGAUCUUUG
ensembl:lncRNA